GAUGAACGCUGGCGGCGUGCCUAAUACAUGCAAGUCGAGCGAACAGACGAGGAGCUUGCUCCUUUGACGUUAGCGGCGGACGGGUGAGUAACACGUAGGUAACCUACCUAUAAGACUGGGAUAACUUCGGGAAACCGGAGCUAAUACCGGAUAAUAUUUCGAACCGCAUGGUUCGAUAGUGAAAGAUGGCUUUGCUAUCACUUAUAGAUGGACCUGCGCCGUAUUAGCUAGUUGGUAAGGUAACGGCUUACCAAGGCAACGAUACGUAGCCGACCUGAGAGGGUGAUCGGCCACACUGGAACUGAGACACGGUCCAGACUCCUACGGGAGGCAGCAGUAGGGAAUCUUCCGCAAUGGGCGAAAGCCUGACGGAGCAACGCCGCGUGAGUGAUGAAGGUCUUCGGAUCGUAAAACUCUGUUAUUAGGGAAGAACAAACGCGUAAGUAACUGUGCACGUCUUGACGGUACCUAAUCAGAAAGCCACGGCUAACUACGUG
rnacentral:rRNA from 1 species